UUAACGAUUCUGUUCAUGUUAUAAACAUUGUCCUAGAAUUUCAAAUGUUUCCAUCCAAAAUUGAAAAAGUUAUAUCAUUUUUUCAAAUUAGAUUCCAGUUUGUGCUAAAAAUCAUGUCACACACCAAGCCUAUGAAAUAAUUUUCAAGUUUUAAAUUCAAAUAAUAAUAAACUAGGUACUGUUUUAUUGAUUCCAACAUUAUUUCAGUGGAAGCACAAAUGUCCCCCAUAAAGAAAUCAUUAAUCCGUCCCAGAAAUAUGGACUGUUUUAAUGUUAACAAUAAAGAUUGUCUAUAUCAAUAACUUUGAAAUUCCCGGGGUGAUUCAUGCUUGUGCGCUACUGUGCUUGAGCGACAGCCAUUAAAGAUGUCCUGUCUCCUUCAGUUUUCAGUAGUUGAAGGUGAAGUUGGUUCAUUGUUUGUUUAUCCUUUAUUUUAUCGCGUCAUCAAGUUGAUGAUGAUUUUUGAUUGCUGAAGGUCUUAAAUUAAGAUGAAGGUGGGAAUAGAACUGCAGAUACAUAUUAUACUAAAAUCCACCAUGACAGAUGAAUAUGAUGCCAAGGAUUAGAUUUGAAAAAAGUUCUUCUCCUCUCUACAUUUGAUGAAAGCCAUUUUCAGCAAAGGUGGGAAUAGAACUG